rnacentral:rRNA from 1 species
UACGUAGGUGACAAGCGUUGUCCGGAUUUACUGGGCGUAAAGAGCGCGCAGGCGGUCGAUCAAGUCGAGUGUGAAAGCCCCCGGCUCAACUGGGGAGGGUCAUUCGAUACUGAUCGACUCGAAGGCAGGAGAGGGUAGUGGAAUUCCCGGUGUAGUGGUGAAAUGCGUAGAUAUCGGGAGGAACACCAGUGGCGAAGGCGGCUCACUGGUCCGGUACUGACGCUGAGGUGCGAAAGCGUGGGGAGCAAACAGG